AGCGAAAGUAAAAGAAGUUCAAGCUGAAACAUUGAUGCAUCGCCGCUACCUUUUCCUCAGUUCAUCAGUUCUCAUAAAUAAUCUUAAUUCUGUGGAAUAUGAUUUACUAAACGAUGAUCAUCACCAGAGAUAUUAUAAAGAGAGAGAGAGAGAGAGAGAUCUGUUGUGCAAACUUGCUGACCUUUGAAGACAGGAUUAUGGAAUGUACUAUUAAAGCAACCAUAAUAUUACUGUAUUGACCUGGACUGGGACCAGUGGUAUAUAAUGUAUGUGCAUACAGGAACAGCAAGCCGGCCCACGUUGCAGUGGCCCAUCAGGAAAACUCCAGUGGACCAGAUGGCCAGUCCUCCACUGAUAACACAUGACAAAGAGUCUUUGUGUUCAGCUACAAGUCAACCCUGGAAGACAUCUGACAGAGCUGACAAAAUAGUUUUUUUUUAUUUUAACCAAAUGUUGUAUGGUGGAGCCAUUUGUUUUCUCUUCGAUUGAAGCUGCCUUACUAAACAUAACAACAAUGCCAAGAUUUAUCUCACAACUAUUGACAAACAUGAUCACACUGGAAAAACAGUGUGAAGUUGACAUGUUAAAGUGUCUGUGACUUCAACAUUGUUUUGAUUUUUUGAAUAUAAAAAUCCUAAAUUUAGCAAAGCACAUGUCUUAUUGUAAACAAUGAACUGUGAUCAAAGAAAGAAAUCUGAAGAGUUAAAGGAACAGUAUGUAAGAAAUUUAUAUCAAUUAAUCAUAAAAUGGCCCUGAUAUGUCACUAGACAUUAAGAAAUCAUUUUCAUUUCAAAUACUUAUAUCACUGACAACAGUGGUCUGGCCAGGAUAUUAUCAUUUAAAAAGUGGAGUUGCAGCCCUCAACUGAUGUUUAUGUUGUCAUUUUGUGUAUUGGCCACCAGUUGUGUGAUUGCAAUACCAGUUUUGGCCACAAUCCUACAUACUGUUCCUUUGAAGCAGACAUUGACCAAUUUAUUCUGGAUUAUAAAAAAACAACUUUAAUAAGCAUUUUCAUGGUAAAUAUAAUACUAUAUGUUUAAUAUCUUAAAGAUGUCUCUCUUUUAAUGUAAAUGUAUAUUUUGUUUUCU